AACUAACGCUGGCGGCGUGCCUAACACAUGCAAGUCGUACGAGAAAGUCCGCUUCGGUGGAUCAGUAAAGUGGCGCACGGGUGAGUAACGCGUGGAUAAUCUACCCCUCAGUUGGGAAUAACGUACCGAAAGGUGCGCUAAUACCGAAUGACACUGCACAUCUUCUGUUGUGUAGUCAAAGAUGGCCUCUGCUUGCAAGCUUUCGCUGAAGGAUGAGUCCGCGUACCAUUAGCUAGUUGGUAGGGUAAUGGCCUACCAAGGCAACGAUGGUUAGGUGGGCUAGGAGGAUGAUAAGCAACACUGGAACUGAGACACUGCCCAGACUCCUACGGGAGGCUGCAGGCGAGGAUCUUUGGCAAUGCCCGAAAGGGUGACAAUGCGACGCCGCGUGUGUGAUGAAGGUCUUCGGAUCGUAAAACACUGUCGGCCGGGAGGAAUCUCUGGAGGCUUAAUAAGCUUGCAGGGUGACAGUACCGGCAGAGGAAGCCACGGCUAACUCCGUGCCAGCAGCCGCCGUAAGAC
rnacentral:rRNA from 1 species